rnacentral:rRNA from 1 species
UGGGGAAUUUUGGACAAUGGGCGAAAGCCUGAUCCAGCAAUGCCGCGUGUGAAGAAGGCCUUCGGGUUGUAAAGCACUUUUGUCCGGAAAGAAAUCCUUGGCUCUAAUACAGUCGGGGGAUGACGGUACCGGAAGAAUAAGCACCGGCUAACUACGUGCCAGCAGCCGCGGUAAUACGUAGGGUGCAAGCGUUAAUCGGAAUUACUGGGCGUAAAGCGUGCGCAGGCGGUUUGCUAAGACCGAUGUGAAAUCCCCGGGCUCAACCUGGGAACUGCAUUGGUGACUGGCAGGCUAGAGUAUGGCAGAGGGGGGUAGAAUUCCACGUGUAGCAGUGAAAUGCGUAGAGAUGUGGAGGAAUACCGAUGGCGAAGGCAGCCCCCUGGGCCAAUACUGACGCUCAUGCACGAAAGCGUGGGGGAGCAAACAGGAUUAGAUACCCUGGUAGUCCACGCCCUAAACGAUGUCAACUAGUUGUUGGGGGAUUCAUUUCCUUAGUAACGUAGCUAACGCGUGAAGUUGACCGCCUGGGGAGUACGGUCGCAAGAUUAAAACUCAAAUG